rnacentral:rRNA from 1 species
GACGAACGCUGGCGGCGUGCCUAAUACAUGCAAGUUGAGCGCUGAAGGUUGGUACUUGUACCAACUGGAUGAGCAGCGAACGGGUGAGUAACGCGUGGGGAAUCUGCCUUUGAGCGGGGGACAACAUUUGGAAACGAAUGCUAAUACCGCAUAAAAACUUUAAACACAAGUUUUAAGUUUGAAAGAUGCAAUUGCAUCACUCAAAGAUGAUCCCGCGUUGUAUUAGCUAGUUGGUGAGGUAAAGGCUCACCAAGGCGAUGAUACAUAGCCGACCUGAGAGGGUGAUCGGCCACAUUGGGACUGAGACACGGCCCAAACGCCUACGGGAGGCAGCAGUAGGGAAGCUUCGGCAAUGGACGAAAGUCUGACCGAGCAACGCCGCGUGAGUGCAGAAGGUUUUCGGAUCGUAAAACUCUGUUGGUAGAGAAGAACGUUGGUGAGAGUGGAAAGCUCAUCAAGUGACGGUAACUACCCAGAAAGGGACGGCUAACUACGUG